AAAGCAAUCAUCAUAAUCUGCCAGAGAAGCAUGAUAAGGUGAUUGUUCAGGCUCAGGAUGGGUAACAGGAUGAAGAGUAGGAGGAGGAACAUGCAACUUCCAGUUUGCAAGAAAUCCAGAGUCUCUGAUACUGCACUAGAAGAACCUGUUCUACAGCAAAACACUGCAUCAACCUUCCAUGAAAAGAUCAAGAGUGAAUUAUCAGUCCACAGAGACCACACUCCUAUCCUUGCCUCAGAAGACCCUGCCCUCCAGUGGUGGGGUAAGAAAGAAACUCUUCCUCUUCUCUCACAGCUCUCCAGCAACUAACUCAUCCUCCUCAGCACUGUCUGAAUGUGCAUUCCCCACAGCUGGAUGCACAGUCACUAAUCAGAGAGCUCAAAAGUAAGAAAGUCAGCAUGCUCAUUUUCUUGAAGAAAAACUGGUGAUGUAUUUUGGGUUGGGACAAAUAAUACAGGAGAGAUGCUAGAAGUCUAAAUAUUGUUCUAUUUACAUAUCUUUAUUCUUUAUGAAUGUUGUUAUUUUCUUUAUUUCAGGGACUGUAGUUAUUUGGUAAUUGUAAUAUCGUUUAGGUUUAGCUUCUGAUAGCAAAGUAGUACAUCACCACCAGACAUUUGUAGCAGUUGCCUCAUAGGAAA